UGUCUGCUGCUGCCAUGCCAGUCAGGAGAGAAUAAACCUAUCUGCAGUUCCUACGAUUCCUCGAAUCUUCUUCCAGGUUCCCCGCUCUUGCCUUGUAUACUGUGUGUUCAAGGAACAGUGAGACAGGGGUCCUGGUUUCCAACAGUGUGAAGGAAGAAGUUCUGGAGGUUGGAAAGUUAUGGCUGCAGCAUCAUCAGAUUCAGUGUCCUGUGAAGACCCACUUGUUCAUAAACUGGUGAUUGAUCCUAGAGUCUAUUGGGACUUCUACUGUAAAAUGUCAACCGGAGGCCUGACUGAGUAACUUGAAUGAACAAUUUAAACAAUAAAAGCUUUUCUGUCCCUUGUCACAAAAGCAUUAUGAGUUCAUUAAAGGAAAAAAUAAAUCAGAAAUUAUAAACC